rnacentral:rRNA from 1 species
AUGGCGGUGCCACUGCUUGCUUGCUCGCUCCACAGGAGGCAGAACCACCAACAAAAAAACGAGAGUCGAGAAUGCCCAGAUGCGGGCUGCUGCCGGCGUGCGUGCAGUCCAUCAUUUGAUUUUUUUGUUUGUUUGUGUUUUGAGGUGGUCGCGAUUCAUGGGGCACGGGCGUGCAGUGCGAAGCCCAUGUGCAUGCAGUCCGUGGAGAUGGGGUGCCGAACGACGAAUCGUGCAGUCCGCGGAGAUGUGCGUGCUGUCGUCGACGAUUUUUGUUUGGUGUCUAUUUUGCUCACAGUUGACAUUUUUGCGUAUUUCAGAUUUUGGUUGCUGUCCCAUGGGCGCACAUGUGCAGUGCUUGUGGGUUAG